UAGGGAAUCUUCGGCAAUGGACGAAAGUCUGACCGAGCAACGCCGCGUGAGUGAAGAAGGUUUUCGGAUCGUAAAACUCUGUUGAUAGAGAAGAACAAGGACGUUAGUAACUGAACGUCCCAUGACGGUAUCUAACCAGAAAGCCACGGCUAACUACGUGCCAGCAGUCGCGGUAAUACGUAGGUGGCAAGCGUUGUCCGGAUGUAUUGGGCGUAAAGCGAGCGCAGGCGGUUUCUUAAGUCUGAUGUGAAAGCCCCCGGCUCAACCGGGGAGGGUCAUUGGAAACUGGGAGACUUGAGUGCAGAAGAGGAGAGUGGAAUUCCAUGUGUAGCGGUGAAAUGCGUAGAUAUAUGGAGGAACACCAGUGGCGAAGGCGGCUCUCUGGUCUGUAACUGACGCUGAGGUUCGAAAGCGUGGGGAGCAAACAGG
rnacentral:rRNA from 1 species